CAUGCAGAAAUAGUUUAUAUUUAUCUUUCACUCGAGAGAACCGAUUUCUCCACAACUGAAAAGACCAACUGGAAAAAAAAAAAUGGAUCCCUGUGAUUGCAACAGCACUGGAACUUGCAGGUGUGGUGUCAACUGCAAAUGCAAAAAUUGCAAGUGUCCAACUUGCCAGAAAAGCUGCUGCUGUUGCUGUCCACCUGGGUGCAGCAAGUGUGCUUCUGGAUGUGUGUGCAAGGAUGAGGCCUGUGAUUCUAGCUGUUGCAAGUGAACAUCCACGUUUGUUUCACACACAGUGCAGCUGUGUGUGAGAGAACCACUGUCCCAUGCAGUGAGGCUUGUCGGGAGUAACAAAUGGCUGGCAAACCUUUUGUCAAAACUGUCAUUUACUUCUGGUUAUCUUCACUCUAGUUUUCCUAGUUCUGUUAAACAUAACCUUUGCAAUUAAUGUUGCAUGACUAAACCUGUGUGGAAAUGCCAAUAAAACAUCUGAGUAUUUC